rnacentral:rRNA from 1 species
GUUGGGUAGGGGAGCGUUCUGUAAGCCUGCGAAGGUGGCCUGUGAGGGUUGCUGGAGGUAUCAGAAGUGCGAAUGCUGACAUAAGUAACGAUAAAGCGGGUGAAAAGCCCGCUCGCCGGAAGACCAAGGGUUCCUGUCCAACGUUAAUCGGGGCAGGGUGAGUCGACCCCUAAGGCGAGGCCGAAAGGCGUAGUCGAUGGGAAACGGGUUAAUAUUCCCGUACUUGGUGUUACUGCGAAGGGGGGACGGAGAAGGCUAUGUUGGCCGGGCGACGGUUGUCCCGGUUUAAGCGUGUAGGUGUGUGUUCCAGGUAAAUCCGGUUCACUUUAACACUGAGGCGUGAUGACGAGGCACUACGGUGCUGAAGCAACAAAUGCCCUGCUUCCAGGAAAAGCCUCUAAGCAUCAGGUAACAUCAAAUCGUACCCCAAACCGACACAGGUGGUCAGGUAGAGAAUACCAAGGCGCUUGAGAGAACUCGGGUGAAGGAACUAGGCAAAAUGGUGCCGUAACUUCGGGAGAAGGCACGCUGACAUGUAGGUGAAGUGAUUUACUCAUGGAGCUGAAGUCAGUCGAAGAUACCAGCUGGCUGCAACUGUUUAUUAAAAACACAGCACUGUGCAAACACGAAAGUGGACGUAUACGGUGUGACGCCUGCCCGGUGCCGGAAGGUUAAUUGAUGGGGUCAGCGCAAGCGAAGCUCCUGAUCGAAGCCCCGGUAAACGGCGGCCGUAACUAUAACGGUCCUAAGGUAGCGAAAUUCCUUGUCGGGUAAGUUCCGACCUGCACGAAUGGCGUAAUGAUGGCCAGGCUGUCUCCACCCGAGACUCAGUGAAAUUGAACUCGCUGUGAAGAUGCAGUGUACCCGCGGCAAGACGGAAAGACCCCGUGAACCUUUACUAUAGCUUGACACUGAACAUUGAGCCUUGAUGUGUAGGAUAGGUGGGAGGCUUUGAAGCGUGGACGCCAGUCUGCGUGGAGCCGACCUUGAAAUACCACCCUUUAAUGUUUGAUGUUCUAACGUGGACCCGUAAUCCGGGUUGCGGACAGUGUCUGGUGGGUAGUUUGACUGGGGCGGUCUCCUCCUAAAGAGUAACGGAGGAGCACGAAGGUUGGCUAAUCCUGGUCGGACAUCAGGAGGUUAGUGCAAUGGCAUAAGC